GGUGCAUACCCUCCAUGGGCGUGUCCUCCCUAGAUUUCGGGCUGUCCGCGAGGGCGGCCCUUUUUGACUCGCUCA
rnacentral:sRNA from 1 species